rnacentral:rRNA from 1 species
UACGUAGGGUCCGAGCGUUGUCCGGAAUUAUUGGGCGUAAAGAGCUCGUAGGCGGUUUGUCGCGUCUGCUGUGAAAUCCCGAGGCUCAACCUCGGGCCUGCAGUGGGUACGGGCAGACUGGAGUGCGGUAGGGGAGAAUGGAAUUCCUGGUGUAGCGGUGAAAUGCGCAGAUAUCAGGAGGAACACCGGUGGCGAAGGCGACUUCCUGGCCUGUUCUUGACGCUGAGGCGCGAAAGCUAGGGGAGCAAACGGG